rnacentral:rRNA from 1 species
UACGGGAGGCAGCAGUGGGGAAUAUUGCACAAUGGGCGAAAGCCUGAUGCAGCUAUGCCGCGUGUAUGAAGAAGGCCUUAGGGUUGUAAAGUACUUUUCAUCGGGGAGGAAAAAAACAAAAACUAAUAAUUUUAUUUCUUGACGUUACCCGAAAAAGAAGCACCGGCUAACUCCGUGCCAGCAGCCGCGGUAAUACGGAGGGUGCUAGCGUUAAUCAGAAUUACCGGGCGUAAAGAGCACGUAGGUGGUUUUUUUAAAGUCAGAUGUGAAAUCCCUGGGCUUAACCUGGAACUGCAUUUUGAAACUGAAAUACUAGAGUAUCGUAGAGGGAGGUAGAAUUCUAGGUGUAGCGGUGAAAUGCGUAGAUAUCUGGAGGAAUACCUGUGGCGAAAGCGGCCUCCUAAACGAAUACUGACACUGAGGUGCGAAAGCGUGGGGAGCAAACAGGGAUUAGAUAC